UAUAUAGGAACCGUUUGGUUAUUUAUGAACAUGAUUUUAGUUUAUGUUGGAUUAUUUUGGUUUUUGGUUUGAUUCGGAUAAUAACCUUAGGAACCUGAUAAAAUAGAGUUCAAUUCAGUUUUUUCGUUUCCAUAUUUGGAUAAUUUUGAAUAAUUUGGAUAAAAAAGUUACAUUUUGGAUUUUGUUAGAUACAAUAUCAGAUAACUCGGAUAAAUUUAAAUAUUUUAAACAAUUUUUUUGGGUGAUUCAGUUAUUUCGGAAAAUUAAGACAAUUUUGAAUAUCUCGGAUGAUCAGUAGUAGAGUAAUCUAUUUUUGGGUGUUUCGGUUAUAAGUAGUAUUUUUAGAAUAUUUUACAACUUUAAACUAAGAAUAAUUAAUAUUUUGAGGUUCAUCCUUCAUAUUCAGAUUAAUUAUUUUGGUUUUAUAGCUACAACAUUUUUAUUAGAAUUUUAACAUUUGAGUUUAGAUGUCUAUAAGUUAUUUUAUUUUUUUAGUAUACAUAUUUUUCAGUCAAAUAUUUGUUAAUAUUUCUGGUUGUUUUGAUAUGGACGUUUGGUUUUCGGAUAUGUUCUAAUUUGUAAUUUUUUUAGUUUUUGAUUUAGUUCUGAUUUGAUUGUGAGAGUUAGUUUUUGGUUCAAAAAGAUAUAUAACUGUUUAGUUCUUUAUAAACUCCAUUUCGUUUUUUUUAGUUUUCGGUUUUGUUUAGAAAAAAUGUUAGAAAUCAACUAAAAAUUUUAAGUUCAGUACAAUUUAUGUUUAGUUUAUAAUAUUGAUAAUUUUAAAAUAAAUAUAAUAAAUUAUAUUACUUUGCGUUCUCAUUUAUUUUACUUUCGUAUUAAUUCGGUUCUUAUAUGCAUAAUUAUAUAAAUAUUUUAGAAUAAAUGAUAUAGUAUAUCAAUACAAUUUAAAUAAAGAUGAGAUUAGCUCAGCCAUUAUUUUCAUUAUUGUAUAUAGGCUUUUUCUUUAAUAUCUAUACUUACAUUUGGACUUUGUUUAAUUUUAAUUGUAAAACACGAACUGGGCUUCAGACAAUAUUGUUGCUUUGUUGGUCCAGAAAUAGUCAAUGUAGAGUUUUUUUUUUGUCAAAAUGUCUAAAGUUAUUGGGUGUGAUUGGUUGAAGCUGUAGCUUUCUAUUUUUUGCUAUAAGAUUUAGGCUUUAAAUUUUAAACUUUGACUUUAAUUUAUUUUGGUGUAGAAAAUUUUUCAAAGCACUAAUUAAAAGCUCUAGAAAAUUUUGCUUUCUAAAACUAACAUAUUUCUUAUUUUAAUGUUUUGGCUUUGGAAUCAAUUUUAAAAAUAAAAACAUGAUUGCUUUUAAAAAUGGCUAUAGAAAUUAAAAGUCUAUUUACAGCUUCUAAAUAAAACCAUGAUUGAUUUAAAAGAUGGUUUUAAAAAUUAAAAAGGUUUUCUACAGCUUCUACAGACACUACCAAUCACCUUCUAUAUUUUUUUAAAAAAUUUGUGGUCUGAAUAAUCAUGGAGUUAUCCAGAAGAAAAAUAUCAGAAAGUAGUGUCUGUAAAAAAGAACAACCGACAGAUAGAUCUCUCCAUCCAAAGCGAUGAUUCUGAAAAAACUCAAGAAAUAAAAACAAUAGGAUUGAGAAGUUAAAGGAUCAAAUUUUUCCAGAAAGAGAUCUUUCAAACAUGCAUUCUCUUCACAAUCGGUAAGUUUUUGCUUUGAUUAAAGAUUUCUAGUGUCUCAAUUUUUUUGUUUGUACUCUUACUCUGUAUGUAUUUUGACAUGCAAGAAUAUCCAAGUUGUUAACAAAAUAGUACAAAAGUACAUUUAUAUGAAAUCACCGAUUUGUCCAGAUUCGUUCAAAGCAAGGUUUAACUACAGAUGAAGUUCACCUUUUCACAUAAUCCGACAAAAUAGAAGUAAGUUUUAGAUAUAGCUAUGGUUUAAAAUAAUUUUCUGGUUUUUAUCCUUCUUUUCAUAUGUUGUACUUUUGAGAUAGGACAAACAAAUGAGAAGACUUUUUUUUUUUAAUUAGCAACAACAUUAUCGUACUAUAAAGACUCUAGAGAAGGUGAACUUUUUAUUCUGUUUUGUUAGUCAAAAGACUCAAAACUAAUAGAAAUAUUGUCAAAGUAUAAGGUCUCUUGUUUUGUCCUUGAAAAUACUGUUUGCUUGACUUAGUAGAAGUUUUGACCUGUAGACACAAAAUAAUUUUUGGAUUUCUAAAAGAGCUAUUUUGCUGUAUUGUUCUAUAGGAGUUUCAUACUGCAAAGUCAGAGGAUGACUGAAGUCUCACACUAUAAAGAUAAGUGUUCUCUUAUAACAUAGAUUCUUUCUGUACUUUUGGAGCUUUUAGUAUAUUUUCUCUCUGAUUUUCUUAUAUUAUGCGUUUUCUAAUGAAUUUGUUUUAAAUGUUCUUCAUGGAAGUCCUGUAGUUGGAUAAAAUACAACAAAGAGGGAGCAAGUACGAAGUCUCAAACACUAAAGAUAAGUUUUCUCCUUUGUCUAUUGUCUUGAAGUUCUCGAUCAGUCACAUUAUUAACGAUUGCAGCAUAUAUUAAAUGUUACAAUACUAAUAUGGUAUUUUGUAUUAUAGUUCCCAAACGUUGUAUGGUGGAAUUCCAUAUUCUUUUCAAUCAUGAGCAACGGAAGAAGUGGUUAACAACAUAUACAGCACCAAAGCGUAUUCAGCAGAUCUUCUUAAACGCAGUUUUCUAAAGGGGAGUCCACAAAGAUCAAUACAAAUGAAAAAGAUUGUAAACUUCAGAAAAUACCAAGUUUUGUCAUCUAAAGAGUGAAAAAAUCGAAACUGACUGAAGGAAUUACCAUGAAAUAGGACCCAAGAUGUGUAUCCAUACACUUAGAAGAUAAGUGUUUUACUCAAGACAGUUUAAUACAGAGAUGGCAUGAAAGAUAAUAAAUCCAAAUCAUGAAGGAUAAACGUAUGUACCACUUUGGCUUGGAUCAACAAUGUCGUUUUCCAUGGCCUAAUAUCAUCAACUUUUAAUGUUGAAGCUUGCAGUAUCCAAAAUUUGUGAGGAGACACCUAGCAAAUUUAAAUGUUUAAGCGUCAGUGUUGAUGGAAGGAACAUGAUGAUCUUCUUUUUUUUUUGUGAACAUGAUGAUCUAGAUUUCAAUAUACAAAAAAUUGUUACAUAUUCUGCUAAUGAUAAUCAGUGUGUUUAAGCUAUUCUUGUGAUGGUUUAAGAAAAAAAAAGGUACAACUUUGAUA